GUACUCUCACACUCCUCAUCCUUUGGUGGAUUUGGAGCGGUGGCCUUGGGUGUUGCUGCCUUGCUGCGGCUCACCUGAAAUGCAUGAGUGCAACUCUUGGUUGGACAUAGUACGGCGUGAUAAGUGUCUUCGCCGGCGCCUCGCAAGAGGGUGGCCAAUCCAAAGAGCUCUGUGCUUUCAAACCGUCUUCGGACAAUCUCUGACA
rnacentral:misc_RNA from 1 species